GCAACGUUUUAUGGACGGCGACCAUAAAACAGACGUACUAGUUCGUGUUGGUCAUCCGCAAAUAGGUUAAUAAAUAUUGUUUUACCAUAUAAUUGAAGGAAAAACAUAAAAUUUUAGUUAAGGUAUCAGCUGAUAAGGAAGAUGAGAGCUAUCUCGUGAUUUUAGCUGUGCGGUUGGCAGCACUGAUCGGCGCUACUCCUGAGCAGCCUCCGUGACCUCGGCGACCGAUUGUGUAAACAAUCCACACGUCGCCUUAAUGUAAUGCAUUCCAACCAUAUCGAAUUAUGACUAUUUCAAAUAGGCUAUGCGGAUAAAUCGAUUUAAGUGAUUCUUUUUAAGACCAAUUUUUAAGUUUAUACAGUUAUUAAUUAUUAUUAUUAUUUUUAGUAAUUAAUAAUGUCAGGUAAUUCUGCAGUCCCUUAAUUCUAUCAAAACAAGACACUGGUAAAAGUGCUUAAAUUGCGUCCAGUAGGUUUGAUAGAAAUGCCUUUUUCGGUUUUCUAAAUUCUUUUCUUUGGGAUUGUCGAAAAUUUUAUUGAUGGUCGAAAAAUUUUGCUUUCUUUUUAUGUUAUAGGGGAAGUACAAAAUAUCAUUUCUCACUUAUAUUGGGUUUUGUCAAACUAUAAUGUGUGAAUUAGGUUACUUCUAUAGAAUAAUGUUACAAUUUAAAAUAUGCAUAUAGAUUUAUGAAAAUCAUUGAAGGAGUUCUUUUAUUACUAUAAUAUAAAUAUAAAUUUCCAAAUC